ACGAACGCUGGCGGCGUGCUUAACACAUGCAAGUCGAACGGAAAGGCCCUGCUUUUGUGGGGUGCUCGAGUGGCGAACGGGUGAGUAACACGUGAGUAACCUGCCCUUGACUUUGGGAUAACUUCAGGAAACUGGGGCUAAUACCGGAUAGGAGCUCCUGCUGCAUGGUGGGGGUUGGAAAGUUUCGGCGGUUGUGGAUGGACUCGCGGCUUAUCAGCUUGUUGGUGGGGUAGUGGCUUACCAAGGCUUUGACGGGUAGCCGGCCUGAGAGGGUGACCGGCCACAUUGGGACUGAGAUACGGCCCAGACUCCUACGGGAGGCAGCAGUGGGGAAUAUUGCACAAUGGGCGGAAGCCUGAUGCAGCAACGCCGCGUGCGGGAUGACGGCCUUCGGGUUGUAAACCGCUUUCGCCUGUGACGAAGCGUGAGUGACGGUAAUGGGUAAAGAAGCACCGGCUAACUACGUG
rnacentral:rRNA from 1 species